rnacentral:lncRNA from 1 species
AAAAAUAAACAAAAUAAAAUAAAGAAAUGCCUAAGUAAAAAGUAGGAGAAUUGUGCAUAAAUAUGCACUUAUCAAAUUCCCCCGGACUUGAACUUUUGCACUCCGAGCAAAAUUGAAAUAAAACAAAGAAAGCACACACACAUCAAUAGCUACUCAUUCCAGGCUACAAGUCUUCUUCGGUUAAGUUUGCAUUGAUAGGUACUAAUCUUGCACACUAAGGAUAUUGUAAGAACACUAAUCCACAGUUAUGCAGACAUAAACCUCCUGAAUA